UACGUAGGGUGCAAGCGUUAAUCGGAAUUACUGGGCGUAAAGCGUGCGCAGGCGGCUUUGCAAGACAGAUGUGAAAUCCCCGGGCUUAACCUGGGAACUGCGUUUGUGACUGCAAGACUCGAGUACGGCAGAGGGGGGUGGAAUUCCACGUGUAGCAGUGAAAUGCGUAGAGAUGUGGAGGAACACCGAUGGCGAAGGCAGCCCCCUGGGUCGAUACUGACGCUCAUGCACGAAAGCGUGGGGAGCAAACAGG
rnacentral:rRNA from 1 species